GAUGAACGCUGGCGGCGUGCCUAACACAUGCAAGUCGAGCGAUUCUCUUCGGAGAAGAGCGGCGGACGGGUGAGUAACGCGUGGGUAACCUGCCCUGUACACACGGAUAACAUACCGAAAGGUAUGCUAAUACGAGAUAAUAUGCUUUUUAUCGCAUGGUAGAAGUAUCAAAAGCUUUUUGCGGUACAGGAUGGACCCGCGUCUGAUUAGCUAGUUGGUAAGGUAACGGCUUACCAAGGCGACGAUCAGUAGCCGACCUGAGAGGGUGAUCGGCCACAUUGGAACUGAGACACGGUCCAAACUCCUACGGGAGGCAGCAGUGGGGAAUAUUGCACAAUGGGCGAAAGCCUGAUGCAGCAACGCCGCGUGAGCGAUGAAGGCCUUCGGGUCGUAAAGCUCUGUCCUCAAGGAAGAUAAUGACGGUACUUGAGGAGGAAGCCCCGGCUAACUACGUG
rnacentral:rRNA from 1 species